CCAACUCGUGGGAAUAUAUAUGAGAGGCAACCACAGAAUUCACUCACUUUGCUUUCAGUCAAGAUAGCUGCAGAUCAACUCAUCAAUUGAUUGUCCGUUUCUUUUAGCUGAAUCCGGAUUUGAGCAACAGAAAUAGAUAAGCAACACACAAAUGGAAGAGAUUUCCAGUUAAUGGAUGACAUUAAAAAAGCCAUUGAGUACCUUAAAAAACAUUUGAAGAUUGCAAUAGAAAAUGAUGACCGCGGCCGAGAAGGAGCAACCUAUGGAAAUCUCGGUAAUGCUUACCAGUCACUGGGUAACUAUCGAAAGGCCAUUGAGCAUCAUGAAAAACAUUUGAAAAUUGCAAUAGACAUUGGUGCCCGGGGCGGAGAAGGAAUAGCCUAUGG